UUGGAGGAGCGGGGAGGCGAGCGAGUAGAGGGCCCCCGGUGGGAGCCGCGGAGGUUUGGGUUCGGGAGGCCGGGCUACGCGGUGCCCUGCGCGUGAGCAGCUGCGGCGGCGGCGGCAGCAUCCAGCGGCCGUGCCAGCAGUACCAGCCCGUCGCUUUACUUUUUAGCUGCACGAACACAGUCAUUAUGCCGAAAAGAAAGUCUCCGGAGAAUACAGAGGGAAAGGAUGGUUCCAAAGUAACUAAACAGGAGCCCACCAGACGGUCUGCCAGGUUGUCAGCGAAACCUGCUCCACCAAAACCUGAACCUAAACCAAGAAAAACAUCUGCUAAGAAAGAACCUGGAACAAAGAUGAACAAAGGUGCUAAAGGGAAGAAGGAGGAAAAGCACGAAGCUGGAAAGGAAGGUACUGCACCAUCUGAAAAUGGUGAAACUAAAGCUGAAGAGGUACUUUCCUUAACCACCUCCCACUGAUUGAAUCAGUGUCUUGAAAGCAAUUGCUCGAUCCUCCAGCCGGCGUUCCCACGUUCAUCAUGUCUCUCUAUUGCCUGUAAUGUUAUUGCAGAUCCACAUCUCUCGCUCAGCUGUUAAUGUGUCAGCCUCCAGAGGCACAGAAAACUGAAUCUGUAGCUAACGAGGGCGAAUGAAUUGUCAUGAAAAUUGGGGUUGAUUUUAUGUACCUCUUGGGACAACUUUUAAAAGCUAUUUUUACCGAGGAUUUUGUAAAUGCUAAUUUUUUUAGGACUCUACUAGUUGGCAUACAAAAAUAUAUAAGGAUGGACAUUUUACCUUCUCGUAGUCAUGCUUUUUGGAAAUUUCCAUCAUCCUGGAGUAAAAUAAAUAUCAAUUUCAUAUUGGAAGCUGUCUGUAAGAUUGAUUCAGCAUUCCAUGCACUUGCUUUAAAAAUGUAGUCCUGUGCAUACAGUGGUGUUUUUACUGUGCGUAUUUGAAUUUUUUCAUGCAGUUUUUCUAGAGCAAUAAUCAGUGGUGCUUUUGUACCUAGGUUUUAUGUGAUUUUAAUGAAACAUGGAUAGUUGUGGCCACCUGCUGACUAUUUGUGGUUUAAAAUAAAAGGUUUUCUUGCCUGCAAAA